CCGGUAGAUAGUCCGGAGGGCCCGGCGUCCUCUGUAACCCAAAAACGCCGUAAUGUGGGGGACGAAGCCCAGAGGAAGGCAGAUUCCUCUAUAAACCAGGACCAGGGCCUUGACGUCGAUUCCUCGUCCCCUGGGACUGGCGGUGACAUGGAAGCCGGUCGGAGGACUGGUUCCCAUGUCCUUACUACGGGUAGUGAUCCAGGCCCGGAAGGGAGCAGAUCACCCGUAGACGUACAGUGCUCAGGGGGUCGCGGGGAUGAGGAGAGGCCCUAGCAGCCAGUUAUAGAGGACCUGUCUACCUCGGGUGCUCUACCGG
rnacentral:SRP_RNA from 1 species